GGGCCUGGCCCAGAGUGGGGAGAGUGGGGAAAUCAAAGUAGAUGCUUAGUUUUAACUUGGGAAUGGUGGCAAACCCCGUGGUCUCUUACCUGUAGGCUCACAGCUAAGGGGAUUACCUCAGAUUCAAGGCAAGCCUGGCCCAAACAUGACAUGUCCUAGUGUAGGAGUGGAUGUGAGGGGAGAUAUUUUUAAAGUUAUAUUGAAACAUGUGUGAAUUUAAAGACACACAUUCUUUUUGUAUUGCCAAAGACUUAUAAACACAAGAGCUUCUUUUAUUUUCAUAAAGAAAUAAAAAUGAUUCCUGU
rnacentral:lncRNA from 1 species